UACGUAGGGGGCGAGCGUUGUCCGGAUUCAUUGGGCGUAAAGAGCUCGUAGGCGGCUUGGCAAGUCGGGUGUGAAAACUUCAGGCUCAACCUGGAGCGGCCACUCGAUACUGCCAUGGCUUGAGUCCGGUAGGGGACCACGGAAUUCCUGGUGUAGCGGUGAAAUGCGCAGAUAUCAGGAGGAACACCGGUGGCGAAGGCGGUGGUCUGGGCCGGUACUGACGCUGAGGAGCGAAAGCGUGGGGAGCGAACAGG
rnacentral:rRNA from 2 species